GUUCCGCCGUUAUCGGGCUUCUCAAUAGUUGCAAACGACAACUAUGCUCCGGUUGCUCAGGCUGCGUAACGCAGUUUGAAAUACCGACUUAAAGUCCUAACGGAAUAAGCCCUGUUAGGCGGGGUUCGGAGGCACCUGGCAACAGAAGCCUCCACU
rnacentral:tmRNA from 1 species